rnacentral:rRNA from 1 species
GACGAACGCUGGCGGCGUGCUUAACACAUGCAAGUCGAACGAUGAAGCCGGAGCUUGCUCUGGUGAAUUAGUGGUGAACGGGUGAGUAACACGUGAGUAACCUGCCCUUGACUCUGGGAUAACUGCGGGAAACUGUAGCUAAUACCGGAUACGACCCUCGGAGGCAUCUCCUGGGGGUGGAAAGAAUUUCGGUCAAGGAUGGACUCGCGGCCGAUCAGCUAGUUGGUGAGGUAAAGGCUCACCAAGGCGACGACGGGUAGCCGGCCUGAGAGGGUGACCGGCCACACUGGGACUGAGACACGGCCCAGACUCCUACGGGAGGCAGCAGUGGGGAAUAUUGCACAAUGGGCGCAAGCCUGAUGCAGCAACGCCGCGUGAGGGAUGACGGCCUUCGGGUUGUAAACCUCUUUUAGCAGGGAAGAAGCGAAAGUGACGGUACCUGCAGAAAAAGCACCGGCUAACUACGUGCCAGCAGCCGCCGUAAGAC